rnacentral:rRNA from 1 species
UGCCAGCAGCCGCGGUAAGACGGAGGAUCCAAGCGUUAUCCGGAAUCAUUGGGUUUAAAGGGUCCGCAGUCUGGUAAGUCAGAGGUGAAAUCCUGCAGCUCAACUGUAGCAUUGCCUUUGAUACUGCCAGACUUGAGUUAUUGUGAAGUAGUUAGAAUGUGUAGUGUAGCGGUGAAAUGCAUAGAUAUUACACAGAAUACCGAUUGCGAAAGCAGAUUACUAACAAUAUACUGACGCUGAGGGACGAAAGCGUGGGUAGCGAACAGGAUUAGAUA